rnacentral:tRNA from 1 species
GGGGAUUUAGCUUAGUGGCAAAAGCACCUGCUUGGCAAGCACAAGGUUGUGAGUUCAAUCCCUG